GACCGCUUAGCUCAGUUGGUAGAGCGUCACGUUGACAUCGUGAAGGUCGGUGGUUCAAGCCCACCAGCGGUCA
rnacentral:tRNA from 1 species